AGUAGAGAGUGGUGGAGAGAAAGAGAGAAGGUCAGAGAGGUCAGUAAAGUCCAGACCAUGCACAGCUUCAGGUCAGGUGAAGAAUGGGAAGCUAUUGGCAGAUUUUAAGCAGGGGAAUGUCAUGAUCUAAUGUUUUCAAAAGACCACUCUAGCAGGAGUGUGGUGGAGUGAGAGUGGGUGUGGGAAGAGCAGUUAUAUGACCAUUUAAGCGAUCUUAGCAGACAUGAUGGCAGCUCUGCAAUGAAGACCAGGAGAUGAACACGGGAUACAUUUUGGAGUUGUAGCUGAUCGGGCAUACUGAUGGAUUAGAGGGGGGUAGCAGUAAGCAAGGUAACUGCACUGGGGAAAAGAUUAUAUCCAAAACUUUUGGAUUGCUCGACAUUAGAUGUUAACUCUGAGCUAAUACUAAUUUCCAGGGACCCAGAAUGAACUUAUCAAUGGAUAUCAGGAAUGGAGAUGACACAUGAAUAAGCACAGUAACAAGGAUUUCCCCUCACCAGGAUGACGUGGCCUUUGCCAUUGCUGAGAACCCAUUUUGCACGCAAUGUUUUCCCGGAUAAUAAAUGACACAGCUGGGAUUUAUUCAGGUGUUCUGACUCCAAAGUCCUUGCUCCUGAUCACCAUGCGCUACCGACUUUGAGCAGUGAUGUCUCACAGAUGGGAAUGAUUCCUCUGAAGAUUGAAUAGAGAAUGCCACCAUGUGAAGUGAUAUUUGAGCUGGAACCUGAGUGAAUGAUGGAAUGGAGAAGUCAGGUACAGAGCUGUGGGGAUAGCAUCACAGGUAGGUGGGAUAGGACAGGCAAACCUCCGGAGGUGGGAGCAGAAUUGGUGCAUUGGCUGUGGUACCUUUCCAUGAUUUCCUCAUUCCAGUGUUCAUAUCUUUAGAAGAUCUCAACCCAUUGAUUGUAGGUGAUAUCUGUGAUUUACUCUAGCCAAUCUAUAUAACAUGACAAAAAUGAUGGAUGUCACUCCUGUAAUUAUUUUAUGUGAUGAUCCA
rnacentral:lncRNA from 1 species